CACGUAGUUAGCCGGGGCUUUCUCCUUGGGUACCGUCAGUUCUUCUUCCCCAAGAACAGAGCUUUACAACCCGAAGGCCGUCUUCGCUCACGCGGCGUUGCUCCGUCAGGCUUUCGCCCAUUGCGGAAAAUUCCCUACUGCUGCCUCCCGUAGGAGUCUGGGCCGUGUCUCAGUCCCAGUGUGGCCGGUCACCCUCUCAGGUCGGCUACGCAUCGUCGCCUUGGUGAGCCGUUACCUCACCAACUAGCUAAUGCGCCGCGGGCCCAUCCUCAAGUGGCCGAAGCCUUUUACUCUCCUCUCAUGCGAGAGGAGAGAUUAUCCGGUAUUAGCACCGGUUUCCCGAUGUUAUCCCGGUCUUGAGGGCAGGUUGCCCACGUGUUACUCACCCGUUCGCCGCUAGGUUUGCUCCCGAAGAAGCAAACCCCGCUCGACUUGCAUGUAUUAGGCACGCCGCCAGCGUUCGUCCUGAGCCAGGAUCAAACUCU
rnacentral:rRNA from 1 species